CAGCUCUGAAAUCUGGGAUCCACCAGCCACGUGGAGCUCAGGACAGGGCUGUUUCAAGGGCAGCUGGACCCAUCCAGUUGGGAUUCCCUGGAGAGCAAAGCCAGCUUCCCAGCUCCUUCUCCCUGCCAAAGCAGUGGGGAGCAUCUGAAUCCUGCUCAGCACCCUCAGGAGUGCUCUGCUUUGUUUGGCCAUGAGGGACACGUUUCUACUCUUGGUGGCACUGAGCAUCGUGCACAGCCCAUUAAUGCUCCUGAGUGUUUGCAUUCAUCCCAGUGCCGUGCAGAGGUGUAAAUGCCAAGCCAUGCAGAAAGGGCAGGAACCGAAGGCAGAUGAAAUGCGGAAAGGGCUGUGGUUGGGUGGAAGAUACUUGGACGCGUCAGUCACUCUGAAAAAUGUAUUCAAGAUGCUGUAGCAGUGGCACAGGAUGGAUUUUUCCUUCUUUUUUUUUUUUUUUUUCCUCUUUUUUUUUUUCUCAGCCCAGGCCCAAAAGCUUUCUGAUGGCAGCAUGACGGGUCCUGAACCCGUGGCCAAAAGAUGGGUAAAGUUCCACUGGAUUAAGUGUCACCAAACUACGGCUCAUGUGGGAUUCAUGGUGCAGGCACUGGGAAGGCAUUAUGUCCCUUCUCCAUGGCCUCAGGACAUGGGGCAAACAGAAGCCAGGCUCGGAGGUCUCACUCGGGGCAUGGGAAACAGCCUAAAGGUGGAAAUGAUCCCAAACUGCCUCUGGAGCAAGGUGACCCCAUCAUUUACUUUGCAACAGGUAUUAAUGGAGCAGCAGGGAAUGGCACCCAGACUCCAGAAUGGGUCAGAUUCCCAUGGCAUCCAACUGUGAUUUUUCACAAGCCGUGACCCUUUGGGGAAAAAGGAAAAAGAGAGAAGGAAAAAGGGUCCAAACUGCAUGACCAUAUAUAGGAUUAAAGAUACCAGAUUGUCUGGGCUGAAUCUGGCCUUUCAAUAUGAAAUCUCAAUGACACUGGGAGUACAUUCUUUU
rnacentral:lncRNA from 1 species